rnacentral:rRNA from 1 species
GACGAGUGGUCCAAGCGUUAGUCGGAAUUACUGGGCUUAAAGGGUGCGUAGGUGGGCUCGUAAGUGUUCCGUGAAAGCCCUUGGCUCAACCAAGGAACCGCGGGGCAUACUGCGAGUCUUGAGGAAACUAGAGGCCGGCAGAACGAUAGGUGGAGCGGUGGAAUGCGUAGAGAUCUAUCGGAAUGCCGAAGGUGAAGACAGCCGGCUGGGGUUUUCCUGACACUGAGGCACGAAAGCGUGGGGAGCAAACAGG